rnacentral:rRNA from 1 species
AUUGAACGCUGGCGGCAGGCCUAACACAUGCAAGUCGAGCGGAGCGGCGGACGGGUGCGUAAUGCCUAUGCAUCUGCCUGGUCGUGGGGGAUAACGUCCGGUACCGGGCGCUAAUACCGCAUCCUAUCAGCUGAGCCUAGGUCGGAUUAGCUAGUUGGGGGGGUAAAGGCCUACCAAGGCGACGAUCCGUAACUGUUCUGAGAGGAUGAUCAGUCACACGGGAACUGAGACACGGGCCAGACUCCUACGGGAGGCAGCAGUGGGGAAUAUUGGACAAUGGGCGAAAGCCUGAUCCAGCCAUGCCGCGUGUGUGAAGAAGGUCUUCGGAUUGUAAAGCACUUUAAGUUGGGAGGCGUUACCAACAGAAUAAGCACCGGCUAACUUCGUGCCAGCCGCCGCGGUAAUAC